CUGGGGCUGGGGCUCAGUGGUAGAGCACUUGCCUGGCAUGUGUGAGGCGCUGGGUUCAAUCUCCAGCACCACAUA
rnacentral:tRNA from 1 species